UGUGAAGUGCCACCUAUGCCUUCAAAGUGAUAAAGAUCCAGACUGAGUUGAAAAGAAUGAUAAAGACAGAGCUGAGAGGGCCACAGUUUUAGUGACAGCCUCAGCUGUGACAAAGGAGAGAAAACAGAAAGACCUGGGAAAGUGCAAGGAUGAAGCAAUUAAGUUUGAGAAAUGUGAUGUGAGGUUUAGGAAAGGUGGAUUUUAGCCCCAGCAGACUUUUAGCUGGACACGGACCUAAUACCUUGAGACUUCAUUGUUCCCAUUAAAGAAAAAAUUAUCUUCUGACUUUCUAGGGGUUUGGGGGUCCCAGAUAUCAAAAGAUUUAAACCACUUAGGAGGUUUCCAUUGGAAGGAGAAGACUGUCUUUAGCCCACUGCAUCCCCUCAAGCCAUCCCAAGCUUUCUCUGUGCCAGGGACUGGACGCACGCUAAAAUACGAACCUGUGUGGACUUCUUUCUUAGGAGCCUUUGCACCAGCACAGUUGAGUUGUUACACCAUUCACUUCUGUCUCUAACUUAACAACCCACCUUGGGAGGUUUAACUCAAUAUAUCUUUGUUACUAUUUAUAAAA
ensembl:lncRNA LINC02529 long intergenic non-protein coding RNA 2529